rnacentral:rRNA from 1 species
UGCACGAGGUAAGUUGCGAACGGCUGAGUAAUAGAUAGGAAUCUACCCAUUGGUGUGGAAUACCUCCGCGAAAGCGGGGCUAAUACCGCAUGAGUCCCUCGAGCAAUCGAGGGGGAAAGCACUUAACUGUGUGCCAAUGGAGGAGCCUAUUUCCCAUCAGCUAGUUGGUAGGGUAAUGGCCUACCAAGGCUAUGACGGGUAGGGGAGAUAAGAGUCUGACCCCCCAGAAUGGACUGAGACACGGCCCAUACACCUACGGGUGGCAGCAACCGGGAAUCGUGCGCAAUGGACGAAAGUCUGACGCCGCGACGCCGCGUGAAGGAUGAAGGCCCUCGGGUCGUAAACUUCUUUUGCUAAGAUCGAAAGGUUUUGGAGAAUAAGCACCUGCUAACUCUGUGCCAGCAGCCGCGGUAAUACAGAGGGUGCAAGCGUUAUCCGGAUUUAUUGGGCGUAAAGCGUUUCGUAGGCUUUUUCGUAAGUUACACUUCAAAGCUUCCCGCUUAACGGGAAAAAGGGGCGUAAUACUGCGAGAAUAGAAGUGUGUCGGGGUUACUGGAACUCUCGGUGUAGGAGUGAAAUCCGUUGAUAUCGAGAGGAACACCAAGGGCGAAGGCGGGUAACUAGGCACAUUUUGACGCUGAUGAACGACAGCUAGGGGAGCGAAAGGGAUUAGAGACCCCUGUAGUCCUAGCCGUAAACUAUGCUCGCUAAUCUCGUUUCGUAAGAGACGGGAUGUAAGCUAACGCGUGAAGCGAGCCGCCUGGGGAGUACGAACGCAAGUUUAAAACUCAAAGGAAUUGACGGGGACCUGCACAACCAGUGGAGCAUGUGGUUUAAUUCGAGACGAAGCGAAAGACCUCACCCGGGUUUGACAUCUUACCGUUUUAGUUCUGCAGAAACGUGGAAUGAUCCUUAAGAAAUUAUGGAUGGUAAGACAGGUGUUGCAUGGCCGUCUUCAGCUCGUGCCGUGGGGUGUUCCCUUCAGUGGGGUAACGAGCGCAACCCUUGCCCCGUGUUAAAUUGUCACGGGGGACUUUUUGAUUUUAUAUCAGAAGGAAGGGGGGAUGACGUCAGGUCAGCAUGGCCCUUAUGUCCGGGGCAACACACAUUCUACAAUGGAGCCGACAAUGGGUUGCCAAGCCGCAAGGCGGAGCUAAUCCCAAAAACGGCUUCUAAGUGGGGAUUGCGGGCUGCAACUCGCCCGCAUGAACGUGGAAUUGGUAGUAAUCGCGGAUCAGCAAAGCCGCGGUGAAUACGUUCUCAGGUCUUGUACACACCGCCCGUCAAGUCAGUAAAGUUGGAUACACCCGAAUUUCGUAUGUUUACGGGAUAAGGUGGAGCCAGCGAUAAAGAUUAAGUCGUAACAAGGUA